rnacentral:rRNA from 1 species
GGUGAACGCUGGCGGCGUGGAUGAGGCAUGCAAGUCGAAUGCAUUUAGUUGCAUGGCAGACGAGGUAGGAACACGUAGGUACGUACCGGAAAGUCAAGGAUAACCCGGCGAAAGUCGGAAUAAUACUUGAUAGUCCCUUCGGGGUAAAGAUUUAUCGCUUUCUGAACGGCCUGCGUUCUAUCAGCUAGAUGGUACGGUAACGGCGUACCAUGGCUACGACGGAUAGGGGAGGUGAGAGCCUGACCCCCACCGAUGGAACUGAGACACGGUCCAUACUCCUACGGGAGGCCGCAGUCGAGAAUCUUCCGCAAUGGACGAAAGUCUGACGGAGCGACGCCGCGUGGUGGAUGAAGCCCUUAGGGGCGUAAACACCUUUUAUGAGGGAGGAAGUUUAUUGACGUUACCUCAUGAAUAAGGGGCUCCCAAUUCUG